CGGCGGACGGGUGAGUAAUGCUUAGGAAUCUAGCCCAGUAGUAGGGGGAUAGCCCGGGGAAACCCGGAUUAAUACCGCAUACGUCCUACGGGAGAAAGCAGGGGAUCUUCGGACCUUGCGCUAUUGGAUGAGCCUAAGUCGGAUUAGCUAGUUGGUGGGGUAAAGGCCUACCAAGGCGACGAUCCGUAGCUGGUCUGAGAGGAUGAUCAGCCACAUCGGGACUGAGACACGGCCCGAACUCCUACGGGAGGCAGCAGUGGGGAAUAUUGGACAAUGGGGGCAACCCUGAUCCAGCCAUGCCGCGUGUGUGAAGAAGGCUUUCGGGUUGUAAAGCACUUUCAGUAGGGAGGAAAACCUUAUGGUUAAUACCCAUGAGGCUUGACGUUACCUACAGAAGAAGCACCGGCUAACUCCGUGCCAGCAGCCGCGGUAAUACGGAGGGUGCAAGCGUUAAUCGGAAUUACUGGGCGUAAAGCGCGCGUAGGUGGUUUGGUAAGCGAGAUGUGAAAGCCCCGGGCUUAACCUGGGAACGGCAUUUCGAACUGUCAGACUAGAGUGUGGUAGAGGGUAGUGGAAUUUCCUG
rnacentral:rRNA from 2 species